UUCGCAUACAACAGGUAGUGAAUCCUCACAGAAUCCCAGAAUUUGAAUUUUAGCAGACACAGAGGUGAGUUACUUACAUACACAUUUGAAAAUACGAAACCGGAAUCUACCACCCGAUCACGAGCACAAUUUCUGAGAGAAGAGGGUUGUGUCAAUAAUAAGCUAUGGAGCAGUACACCACUGUCUCCACUACUACAGGGGACCAGAUAGAUGUAAAGACUACAAAUGGACAGAUCCAGCAGCAGGGCCAGCAGGGAGCACAGACAGCUGACGGGCAGACCAUCGUCCACCAGCCUGUCAAUGCAGAUGGAACUGUCCUGCAGCAUGGAAUGAUCACAAUUCCAGCUGCCAGCUUGGCCGGUGCCCAGAUUGUACAGGCAGGGGGUGCCAACACCACCAACAGCGACCAAGGCACUGUGAACGUCACCCUGCCCAUUUCCGGCAACACGGGCAAUGCAGGUGGAAUGGUCAUGAUAAGACCCUGUGCAGAGAUUGUCCCCGGUGGUGGCGGAGAUGGAGAGGAGGAGAUCAUCUAUGUCAAUCCCAAACAGUACCAUCGAAUCCUGAAGCGACGACAGGCUCGGGCCAAGCAGCAGGCUGAGGGCAAGAUCCCCAAAGAGCGGAGGAGCCAGCUGACACUUCAGGAGCAUGGAGCAGUGUCAGGAGCAGUGUCAGCUGGGGACUUAUAUGCACUCAGAAAUACCUGCAUGAGUCUCGCCACCGUCACGCUAUAGUGCGUAAGAGAGGAGAUGGAGGACGCUUCUUUUCCCCCAAGGACAAGGAGGAAAUGACAUUGGCCCUGUCACAAGAAGCUGCGUCUAGAAAAACACCACCGAUACAUCAUCAGCCACCGCAGAACAUAGGCCAGACAGCAGUAGAUGACUCAGCAGAUUUCAUUUUUUCGACCCAUGACUUGAAGGGGAUGGAAGCAAUCUACGUCCAAAGAGCAAAUGCUCAAAUUUGAUGAUUAUUUGAAGAUGUUGUACAUAAUUAUUUUCUUCCCUGGUGUGUUUUUGAUGUACUAACUAUUUCAAUUCAAUACAAUUCUGUGGAUGCAUUUUAUACAAUUCAAAAUCAGACUUUUAUUAUUGUAGGAAAAAAAUGGCUGUUGCAUUACAUUACAUAUUUUAUCCAUAUAGUCAUGCUGUCAUUGAUCAGUCCAAACAAUGGGGUUUUUCAUUUUAGAUUGCAGAUUUUUUUCCCCAUCUGAUGCAGACUUGUGGUAUUAUUUUUUUUAAAUAAUUGGAAAAAGAACAUUGAAUUCAUGAAACCUGAAACCUAUGUUAAUUAAAUUUUAUGAAGUGA